AAACUUCGAUGAUAUAUGAAAAGUAAAUUGAGAAUGGAAGGUAUCACUACAGGAAAAGUAAGAUUUUCCGACGCUUUUUUCCCGACGCCAGGGAAAAGCGUCGGGAAAUGUUGGUUCCGCGCAAAAUUGUGCCGACGCUUCUAAAAAGUUUCGGUAUAGCUUUACAAUCGACGACGCUUUUAAGCGUUGUGGAAAAUUGGGAUCUACGACGACGCUUAUAAGCGUCGUCGGAGGCCAAAACCAUCUCUAAAUCUCAAAACCCCUCUCGAUGCCCUAGCUCUUAUAUCAUCUCCUCUCCUCUUCCCUUCGGCGCCGACGUCAAUCCUUCUCUUCCCUCCCCCUUCUCUUGGAUCUGAGCCACUCUCCUCUCCUCCUCCCUCCGGCGCCGACAUUAAUCCUUCUCUUCCCUCCCCCUUCUCUUGGAUCUGAGCCACUCUCCUCUCCUCCUCCCUCCGGCGCCAACAUCGCCACCAACCUCGCUUCCGAAGAAGAAGAAGAAGAGUAGAUCCGCCUCCUCCCCCUUCUCUUCCCUCCGGCGCCGACAUAUCCAAUCCCCCCCUCCUCCGAAGCCCAGGGGUGACAGGAGUAAGCGGAUAUGCAGGGGGGCCGGAGCGCCGGUGUCACGCCACCAGGGACAGGCGGUGGCCGGGAAGGGGCGGGCCGUGGCUCCAGCUAAUUGGUCGUGUUAAUCACGAUAAACUUUGUGACACUGUACAUGAGAAAGUACUAAACAUUGAUGGUGAUAGAGAGGAAGAUCUCUUCACUAUUCCUACAGCAGAUUAUGAGAUCCGACAACCGCGCAACUGAAGACUUUAACUGCUAAGUGAAAUCUUCUGGCAAGCUCUCUUGAGUGAUGUAAGCGAGAGUAGUGGAUCCCAUGUCCUACUUUCACUAUGAUCUGUAAGCCUGUAAAUAAAUUAUGCAGAAGCUUUUGUUUGAUCCAAAGUAACCUCUUAUUGUGACAUGUAACGAUUUUUAUGAAAUCUAAUUUAAAAUGUACAUCAUUUGUUCAAUA